UCCCUGGUGGUCUAGUGGUGAGGAUUUGGUGCUUUCACCACGGCAGCCCAGGUUCAAUCCCUGGUCUAGGAA
rnacentral:tRNA from 1 species